UACGGGGGGGGCAAGCGUUGUUCGGAAUUACUGGGCGUAAAGGGCUCGUAGGCGGCCAACUAAGUCGGAUGUGAAAUCCCCAGGCUUAACCUGGGAACUGCAUCCGAUACUGGAUGGCUUGAAUCCGGGAGAGGGAUGCAGAAUUCCAGGUGUAGCGGUGAAAUGCGUAGAUAUCUGGAGGAAUACCGGUGGCGAAGGCGGCAUUCUGGCCCGAAACUGACACUGAGGCGCGAAAGCCAGGGGAGCAAACGGG
rnacentral:rRNA from 1 species